AUGCAAAACGUUUAUUAGAGAGUGGCUUUGGCUUUACACUUGGGAAGGAAGAGAAGCAAGAUUGGGCAGAGGGAGCAGUUGGGCUCUAAUGCAAUCACAAAGGCUCAGCUGACCCUAUAAGGAGUUCUGAAGCUGGGAUGUCCCUUCAGAACUGUUCCAGGUUGGGGCAAGGGGGCCAGACCUUCAUAUGCCCUCAUUGAUCAGUCAUUGGGUACAGCUGCCCCUGGGAAUGGGGUGUGACAUAAGCAGUGAGGAGGCAGAACUCUGCAGGUGAGGGAAAUUUCUGGAGACAGCUUGAAGUGGAGCAGCUGGAUGAAUAAGUCCUUUACCACUCAAAGGGGAGCUAGGGAAGUAGCAGGGUAUGUAUUGCUCUGUGCGAAGCAUAUUCUGUGCCCCUAAGAAGCUUAUUAUCUAGAUAGGUGGAAUUAAACAAGUGUGCAAGUGACAGUGUUAUAAGGUGGCAUCAGGCAGGUGGCACUUCCAAAGCUGUAGGGGUUUGCAGAUGGCAGGGAUGGUGGGAGUGGGGUGUCACAUUUGCUUGGAGGAGAUAUUUGCACUGGGUCUUGGAGAAUCCUAGCUUGAGGAUUUUUGUCAUUUUCUAGUCAUUAGCCUGAUUGAAAUCCUUGGUGCAUGAAGAGGACUUCUUUCACACAGACCACUAAACCAGGAUUACAGACUAGACAUUAAGUAAAUCCCCAGGGCUGAUAAAUAACAUCUGGCCAAGUGCUAUAGCUCAGAGUUAGUUUUCUUGUUUUCUCUUCAUCUCAAGAAGUUCCAGGAAAUGUCGCUGAAGAGUUCAACGCUAUCGUUAUCUCAGGCCUCAAUUCCUGUGGCUCUUGGAUGCACCAGGGUAUCAAGAGGAUAAGCUGCAGCUGCUUGAGGCUGAAACAGUUACUCUGCGCAGGGCAAGAAGCACCAGCUGAGUUCUUUGCAGUGAGUUAUAUCUUUUCAUUCCAUUGCAUAUUCCUGAAGACUAGGCUUUUCUGGAAUGAGGGGAAUUGCCUUGUAUGGCCAAGAAAGCUGUGGAGACAUUUAGGAAGCAGAGAUGAUCUGGAGGGGAAUUCCACAUAUAAGCAGGUGCCCACGUGGUGUCAGGUCCAGAUACCUGCCUGACACUCCUCUCUUGCUGCUUUCCUUGCCAGACUAACAGGAACCCCUCUCACUGGGCUUAGGAGGCUCCUGUUAGACUCAUAUCCAUGACCAGAGUCAGGGCUGCAGCAUCUGACCCCAUGGUCACACAUACAGCCUCUUAGUUCUUCAGAUCAGCCAGCUGUUCCAUAGCAAAACUCAGCCCUGUAGGAUGGAGCAGACAUGGAUGAUGGGAAUGGAGAGUGUGUGUGUGAGAGAGGGAGAGACAGAGACAGAGAGAGAGAGACUCUGUGUGUGUGUGUGUGUGUGUGUGUGUGUGUGUGUGUGUGUGUAUGCAUGCAUGCACAUGCACGUAUGCAUGUAUUAGUGGCCUAGAGAGGACAGAAUGCCCAGUCAGGAGAGGGGUGGUCCUCUGGCAUCCUGAGCUGGGCCUGGAUGGGCAGGAGAACAGGAGGGGGUGGCCUGUGAGAAAGGAAACCUGGACUGAAGUCAGAUUUCACCAAUGUUAUGAUGCCACUAAGCUUGAGAUUCUUUCAAAGGUGAACCAAAUCCUAGUUCUGCCCUGUGAUGGGACUGAGAUGCAGUAAUGGGUCCCCUCCUUUCCAUAAUGAUCUGGCAUUUGCCACUGCCUUAGCUCCUUGUCUUCAAGGAGGUUUAAGAAAUGCUAUAAAAAAGCACUGGCUGUCAGAAAAGAAAACUUUACAACAUAGUGUGAUCCUGACACUUUGCAAAUGAAGAGAAACAUUUGCCAUUAGAGUCAGGCGUUCAACACACUGGAGGAUCUGCUGUCAGCCUUGGAGUUCUCAGGUGGUCUGCAUCGUAACCAGACUGUCAUGCCGCAAUAUACCCAAACCCACCCCAGUGAGUGCCCCUUGAGUGUCCACAGCCCCUUGUCAGCACCAGAUCAUGAUGGCUGGGAAGGCAGGCAGGGACUUUGGGAUAUGCAUUUACCUAGGAGGCAGUGGCCACAGUAGGCUAGGGCUGCAGGUUCCCCACAGGUCAUCUCCAGGCCCCUGGGCACCUUUCAAGUAUUCAACACUGUAAACAUUGCUGCACUCAGAUCCUUGGCCAUGGCUGCCACCACUACACUUCAGUGAUGCGCCCUGGGGUGGGGAAGGGUACCCUACACCUCAUGAAAUUCUAAGGGAAGGACAUAGAACUGCUACUUCUGACAUGUCCUUAUUUUAUAGCCUCAACUGUCUAACAUGCACAUAUUCAUCCCAAUUAAUUCUUAGGAAGGGAUUCUUGCUUUGAAAAUUCCCCCGCAGCAUUCUUUCUGAGAAACGCUGUCAUGUCCUCUCCUAUCUUCAAUUAUCUUGCAAAAAACCACCUCUGUGUAGUGUCCCAACCUGACCCAAACACACAUAGAGAUGCACAAACACACACACACACACACCCUCCAUGAAGCCUCUCCUGCUGCAGCCUAGGUCCCCUCUGUGCAAUCUGUACAUGGCAGCAGUGCUCAGGCACCAUAGGUAGGUGGGCAAACACAAAGUGGCAGAUGGUUGCUUACGGUGCUACCAGUGUUGCCAUUGUUUCUCCAACCUCACAAACAAGACUUCCAGCUUCUUGAGCAAGUAUAGGAAGCUGCAAAGCCAGAGAGCUGCUGUUACAGCUGUAUAGCUGCUGGGUCCACCUCUGGCAUGAUCUACUACAGCACAGUCUCCCACAAGUAUAUCUGGUUGGCGGGACCUAAAAUCACAUCCUGAACCUGGCUGCAAGGGAGUCUGGGAAUUGUAGUUUUACUCUUUCCAACCUGGAUAUCUCCCUGUGUAACCCUAGGCAGACAAAUACCCAGUCAAUCCCCAGUACCUACAUUCCUGAAGAGAGAAGGCAAGUCCUGUUCUCAUUUGACACUGUAAGUGGGAAGUUCUCUAACUUAAAAAGUCACACUGAAGGGUGGAGCUAGGAUAUGGCAGAAUACAACUCAGACACUGAAGGGCUUUAUGUGAAUCACCCAUCCCUUCAGCUUCCAGUGACCUCAGUUCUUUUUUUUUUUUUUUUUUCUUUGAGACGGAGUUUCACUCUAUCGCCCAGGCUGGAGUGCAGUGAUGUAAUCUCGCCUCACUGCAGCCUCCGCCUCCCAGGUUCAAGCGAUUAUUCUGCCUCAGCCUCAUGAGGAGCUGGGACUACAGGCACGCACCACCAUGCUCGGCUAAUUUUUGUAUUUUUAGUAGAGAUGGGGUUUCACCAUAUUGGCCAGGCUGGUCUUGAACUCCUGACCUCGUGAUCCACCCACCUCGGCCUCCCAAAGUGCUGGGAUUACAGGCAUGAGCCACUGCACCUGGCCAACCUCAGUUCUUAGGAAGGCAGGAACUUGGUUUCCAAGAAACUUUCUUUGCUUUUCACUUGCUUCAUGGGCUAAACUAUUGACAGACUUACCAGGUCUCUGGUCAUGAUGGUAUAGGCUAUGUCAGGUAACAGCCCCAUGACUAUCCAUGGUUUAACAGUAAAAUGAUGGAGUUUAUGUCUUAUUCAUGGCAUCUGUCCAGUGUAGGUCGGGAAGGGGUUUUAGCAUGACCCAGGACUUAGGCUCCAUUUUCACACUCACUCCCACACACAUUCCUGGAGAGGCAGGAAAAGUAGAAUGUGGCAAAUUGUACAUUUGUCUCUGCGAGGAAGAGACAUGUUGCUUACACACCUACUUCAUGAGCCAAAGCAAGUCACACAGCUCGCUUACUUCAAAGGGAGAAAACCAAAGUCCUCCCAUUAACCCGGGGACAGGAGAACCGACCUGUGGUAAACAGCACUAAUGAGGAGUCUGUGCCCGUGACGUGCCCCUAGUGUACUCAUCACUCGGCCGGGAUAACUGACAUUCUUCCAUCACCAUUUUUCUUUCCCUCCAGGCACUUAACAUUUCAACUUUAAAGAUACUGAUACAAUUUUCACUUGAAAAUGGCCUAUGAAAAAACAGCACAGUCCCCAGAGGCAAAAUUCUAAUCAUGCUUUUCCACAAAUACUUCAGUGGUUCUCAGUCUGUCAUGAUUUAGUGGGCUGAGAAUGCUCUGUGUUGUGUUUUAUGUAAAAAUUCUGCCUGUCUUCCUUAGAUCAGGAAGGAAGAAAACAGGCCCAAGAGGUUGGCCCCAGACGGUUUCUCAGUUCCAGUGCCCAUCCUGCUACAGGCUUUCUCUGACCACCUCCUCCCCAGUUUGAAGCCAUUUCUGACUUUCUUGAGCAUCCCCCUUUCAUGUUCCCUCACCGUAUUAUCAGUGUUUGCAUAAGUGCCUCAUCCCCUCUACUAGGCUGUGAGCUCUUUGAUCCAUAUAGAAUUGUCUCUACACUCAGGUAGACUUUAUAUUGAGUGUUUUUGAAUGACUCAAGGAAUGAAUCUCUAUAUUCUCCCUCAGGAUGUUUUCUGUAAGAGGUGCUCAGCAUCUUUUGAAUAUAAAAAAGAUCGAUGGAUGAAUGGAUGGAGAAAUUAAAUAAAGGAUUGAGGAUGUAUAGACUCCAGACAGCAUCACAUAGGAAGAAUAAACAAGCCUAUUCUCUUCAGGUCAUUCAGCAGAUUCUGAUGAGUUAACUCAUAAAUACAGGUUUUGGAACCAAAUGGAAGUGGGGAUGACUCAGGGCAACCACUCAUCACUCUGCAAACCAAGGCCCAUGCCCUGCUAUGGUUCAGUGGUGUCAUCUGGAAAUAUUCAUGUAAAUGAGCACCCCAGUUUUCUAAGAGCUGUUUUUUUCUUCCUCUCUUCUUUUUUCCAUUUCCUGGAUUCCCAACUUCCUAGGUAGCCCUUUAGAAAUGCAAAUAUAGGCCUGGCGCAGUGGCUCUCGCCUAUGCCUGUAAUCCCAGCACUUUGGGAGGCUGAGGUGGACAGAUCACUUGAGGUCAGAAAUUCAAGACCAGCCUGGCCAACAUGGUGAAACCCUGUUUUCACUAAAAGUAAAAAAAAAAAAAAAAAAUUAGCCAGGCGUGGUGGUGGAGUACCUGUAGUCCCAGCUACUUGGGAGGCUGAGGCACAAGAAUGGCUUGAACCUGGGAGGCAGAGGUGGCAGUGAGCUGGGAUCAUGCCACUACACUCCAGCCUGUGCGACAGAGUGAGACUGUCUCAAAAAAAGGGAAAUGCAAAUAUAAGCUUUCAUCUCCCCUUCACUAGACAUUCCCUACAGGGCAAGUUCAUCUCUCUGCUCCAAAAUAGUCCUCCAGAAUUGACUGCCAAUUUGCAGACCAAAACAUGCCCUCCUUGAGCUUUCACCUCCAGGGGUUGCCUUGGAACUCCCACCCUCCAGGGGCUGCCUCAGGACUUUCAUUCACUAGGAGGUUAUAUCUAAAGUAUGCCUACUUGGCCACUUUUAAAAUUUAUUUUUGCCCAGGAAGGCCCGACUCAACUGUCCAGUAGAUAAGGCACCAUGCUAUCAGGCGGACCCUUGCUCACUUGCUCCCUUACCUUAUAAAAGUGCCUGCUUUCUGCUCCAAAGGGGAAGCGGCACAUUGAAAGGCAGGACGUUGUGUGCCCCUCCUCCAAGCUAGCUUUGGAAUACAUUCACUUUAUUGGUAUCAGACUUUACUCUUGUCCGUGGGACUUUGCAUACAUUGAGCAACUAA
rnacentral:lncRNA from 1 species